GACGAACGCUGGCGGCGUGCUUAACACAUGCAAGUCGAACGGAAAGGCCCUGCUUUUGUGGGGUGCUCGAGUGGCGAACGGGUGCGUAACACGUGAGUAACCUGCCCUUGACUUUGGGAUAACUUCAGGAAACUGGGGCUAAUACCGGAUAGGAGCUCCUGCUGCAUGGUGGGGGUUGGAAAGUCUCGGCGGUUGGGGAUGGACUGGCGGCUUAUCGGCUUGUUGGUUGGGUAGUGGCUUACCCAGGCUUUGACGGGUAGCCGGCCUGAGAGGGUGACCGGCCACAAGGGGACUACGGGACGGCCCAGACGCGUACGGGAGGCAGCAGGGGCGAGUAUUGCACAAUGGGAGGAAGCCUGAUGCGGCAGCGCCGCGGGCGGGAUGACGGCCUUCGGGGUGUAAACCGCUUUCGCCUGUGACGAAGCGUGAGUGACGGUAAUGGAUAAAGAAGCACCGGCUAACUACGUG
rnacentral:rRNA from 1 species